AUGUGUAGGGGCAGGAUCCCAAUUUAUUCUGCCCACAGCCAUGGGUAUUGGGUUGGGGCUGUGGACAGAAUAAAUUGGGAUCCUGCCCCUACACAUGGUCAAUG